rnacentral:lncRNA from 1 species
CCGAGUUUUCGCCUCUGUCCCCCAGUUUUCCCUUGUCUUCAACUCCCAUGCUCUUUGAUCCUGCCUCUCAGCUGGUUCCUCGCUGCCCACGCUUGCGCCGGCGUAGGCUCGGGCAGAAUCCCGAGGGACCCGGGUUGGGGUGGGGCUGCCGGUGAAGGUGCGGCGAUGCCCGCGAAGGCUCCUCUGGGUGCCGCUCGGAAGAGCCUUCUCUCCGCUGCGGUGCGUAGCGAGGUGGGCCGGGUCAUGCCCGUGGCACUUCUGCAGGCGUCCUGGGGGCACGCCAGGGCCUAACCGGUGCUGG